UGGGGAUGACGUCAAAUCAUCAUGCCCCUUAUGUCUUGGGCUUCACGCAUGCUACAAUGGCCGGUACAAAGGGCUGCGAUACCGCGAGGUGGAGCGAAUCCCAGAAAGCCGGUCUCAGUUCGGAUUGGGGUCUGCAACUCGACCCCAUGAAGUCGGAGUCGCUAGUAAUCGCAGAUCAGCAACGCUGCGGUGAAUACGUUCCCGGGCCUU
rnacentral:rRNA from 1 species